rnacentral:ncRNA from 2 species
GCGAGCGACUCUGGAGAGACCGGUUCACCGGCGCCGAAGGGGCAAGGACGGCAGGACGCCGCCCCAAACUCUCAGGCAAAAGGACAGAGGGGCAUUC